UUCCAUUUGAGAAAAGUAAAGGAUACAGAUAUAUAUUCUUUGCCUGGCAAAAGUGAUUUUCCCACACAACUCUGAGCCCCGCCUGGUGAAGUUAAAGGCCACAAAUGUUGGAGAAGUCUGGGGCCCCCGGCAACAGUGAGCACAGACCUUUAGCUGGAAAAGCAUUUACAUGAUCAAAAUGUUUCCUGUACCGUGGUUCACACCUUCAUUGUAUCCUGAAAAUCAUCCUGGUCUCUAAGAAAACAUGUAAUUGUGAAGAUAAUUUAAAUUUGCUAAAUUGAGCCCUAGGCCAGUUGUUUUUCACACAAACUGAGCGGAGAAAUUGGAAACCUAUCUCAAGUACUCUUCUGUCACCCCCCCUUCCGGUGAGAUCUUUUACAUUUAUCUCUGGGCCUUCGGCGCCAACGCCAUACCAGCUCAAGUGCAGCAUUUCUGUGGCAUUUUCCAGACCUUGCAGGUGGAGCCCCGAGCCCCCAGCCCCUUCCCUGCCUCUCCCCGCCACACGUGGCAGGCUGGUGUCUUGCCAGAGGAGGGGACUGGCAAACCAGAGGCCCCAUCUCCCCAUGGUCAGCCACAGCCCCUUUGCUGUGAUUUGGGUGUCCCCAAAGGCCCACGACUUAAAGGCGUGGUCCUCAGCUUGGUGUCAUUUCAAAGUGGGGCCUAGUGAGAGGAAGUUAGGUUUGAAGAUGCUGGACGGACCCCAGGCCUUCCUCUCUCCCUCCUUUCCCAGCCACAAGAGAUGACGUCCGCUGCCUGCCAUAAUGUGCUGCUUGGACACAGGUCAGAAAACAACAGGCCAAACUGACUGGGGCCUCUGAAGCCAUGAGCUAAAAUAAACUUUCUCCUCCUAAGUUGUCUCAUUGUAUUCAGUUAUAAUUACGGAAAGCAGACAAAUACUCUUGCCCCUCCAUGGAGUCUGGUUUUAACAUUACAAGCUACACCAUAGUCAGAGGGUUCCCCUAGGGUAGCAAAGGCGAACCUUUCAGAAGAUUCUCAAAGAGACACUGCUUCAGUAAUGCUAACCAAUGGGCCAAAGAGGAAGUAAGGCUCCUUAUAAUUUGUCACUCUCUAAAUCAGGGUGACAUACAAUACUACUCCGUAGCACUUUUACUGAGGAGACAAAGAACACUUCUCAGAGCCAGUCCAGGCCCCUCCAUAGCAAGUGGGGACACUGUAACAGGCAGGCGACCCAACCCAACCUGACCCAAGGGACACCACACUGCCGCUCCUUGGCCAAGGCCAUUCCUCUCCCUCUGCACAACCAGGUAGGGGCCCAAGCAGGGCUACUGGGAAGGCUCAGCCGGCCAGUCCGCUGCGUGUCUUCAAGAAGCGGCACUGACCACAGGUGCUUGUCCCUCGCUGCACCGCCUGGACAGAGAAGGCUGAAGGCAGUGGUGGUUUGGAUCCCACAGCCUUGGAGUGAGUGAGCGCUCCUCAGUUAAUACAAUCAAGAGCAGGAUGACUUGCAGGCACAAACGUCCAAGCAUGCCAGGAAACAAAAUGCAGCACGCCCACCCCAGGCUACAGCCAGGAACAGCUGGUGGACGUCUGCUAAAUGCCAGCCACCGAAACAGCAGCCUAGUUCCCUGUCGGGGUGGCCUGGCUGAAAUGGCUGGCUGCAGGGGUGAAAGCAGCCACUGGAAUCGCUCACCUGGGGGCUUGCCCUGGAGUCACACUCAAUGCUAUCGAGCCGUUGGGGACAGCAGUUGUGUUCAAGCUAACGGGGGUCUCCCCGGUAGCUUGUAUUUUAAAAUAGACCAAAUAAAACACGGGCAGCACAAUCCCGAUGAGGAGCAUGAUGAAGACAGCAUUCCACCACCGGAUCCCACAGUCGGCACCGUCUGUGGGCAUCUGUGGAGGGGCUGCGAGCAGCGGCUGAUCCGGGGUGUCUACACAGCAGCUCUCACUGAGGAAGAUUUCCGACUGCACUGCACGCUCGAUGUUCUGGUCAAUCCCCUUAAAGAAAUCUGUCAGCUGGCUGGUCUGGGUGUCCACACCGGGAGGUUCUGCCAAGGUCACUCUGGUCUCUGAGGAUGGUUCUGGGAGGGGUUUCAGUUCUGUGUGGCUUUCUGUGAGGAGCCCGUGGUUUUUCACGGGAAUUUUAAUAGAUUUCAAAGCAUAUAAGUCUUGUUCUCUGAUGAAGUUGUUGACUUUCUUAAUAUCUGCAACCUAGGGAAGCCAUGGAGACACAGGUAAUAAAACAAGUGAAGCUUCUUAAAACUAUGUACAGCAAUACCGAACACACACACUGAGUUCACCUAGG
ensembl:lncRNA